rnacentral:rRNA from 1 species
GAUGAACGCUGGCGGCGUGCCUAACACAUGCAAGUCGAGCGAUUCUCUUCGGAGAAGAGCGGCGGACGGGUGAGUAACGCGUGGGUAACCUGCCCUGUACACACGGAUAACAUACCGAAAGGUAUGCUAAUACGAGAUAAUAUGCUUUUAUCGCAUGGUAGAAGUAUCAAAGCUCCGGCGGUACAGGAUGGACCCGCGUCUGAUUAGCUAGUUGGUAAGGUAACGGCUUACCAAGGCGACGAUCAGUAGCCGACCUGAGGGGGGGAUCGGCCACAGUGGCACUGAGACACGAUCCAAACUCCGACGGGAGGCAGCAGUGGGGAAUAUUGCACGGUGGGAGAAAGCCUGAUGCAGCAACGCCGCGUGAGCGAUGAAGGCCUUCGGGUCGUAAAGCUCUGUCCUCAAGGAAGAUAAUGACGGUACUUGAGGAGGAAGCCCCGGCUAACUACGUGCCAGCCGCCGCAGUAA